rnacentral:sRNA from 1 species
AUGAAGCUUGGUUAGUGUUUUGAAGUCGAAUAUGAUUUGAUGUUAUGUAUAUGAUUGAGUAUAAGAACUUAAACCGUAACCGGAUCUUAAAAGCCUAAGUAGUGUUUCCUUGUUAGAAUAUACA